rnacentral:misc_RNA from 1 species
GAAAUGCGAUAAGUAAUGUGAAUUGCAGAAUUCAGUGAAUCAUCGAAUCUUUGAACGCACAUUGCGCCCGCUAGUAUUCUGGCGGGCAUGCCUGUUCGAGCGUCAUUUCAACCAUCAAGCCCUAGGCUUGUGUUGGGGGCCUUCAGCCGCUGCAGCCCACUAAAAGCAGUGGCGGGCUCGCUGUCAUUCCGAGCGCAGUAGUUACAUCUCGCUCUGGGCGUGGCAACGGGCACUUGCCGUAAAACACUCUUUCUAAGGUUGACCUCGGAUCAGGUAGGAAUACCCGCUGAACUUAAGC